rnacentral:rRNA from 1 species
UACGGAGGGGGCUAGCGUUGUUCGGAAUUACUGGGCGUAAAGCGUACGUAGGCGGCUUUGUAAGUUAGAGGUGAAAGCCCAGAGCUCAACUCUGGAAUUGCCUUUAAGACUGCAUCGCUUGAAUCAUGGAGAGGUUAGUGGAAUUCCGAGUGUAGAGGUGAAAUGCGUAGAUAUCUGAAGGAACAUCAGUGGCGAAAGCGACUUCCUGGACCAAUACUGACGCUCAUGUGCGAGAGCGUGGGGAGCGAACCGG